rnacentral:rRNA from 1 species
UGCAUCGGAACGUGCCCGGUAGUGGGGGAUAACUCGGCGAAAGUCGAGCUAAUACCGCAUACGUACCGAGGUAGAAAGCGGGGGACCUGCAACGGCCUCGCGCUAUCGGAGCGGCCGAUGUCGGAUUAGCUUGUUGGUGGGGUAAUGGCCUACCAAGGCGACGAUCCGUAACUGGUCUGAGAGGACGACCAGUCACACUGGGACUGAGACACGGCCCAG